GAAAGAGGCAAAGUUGCUUUGAGUUGAGUAAAAAUAAACUAAAAGAGGGAGCUAGUAUGAUAUCAGAAUGUAUUAUAUUAAAACAUAUUAAAGCAUAAAAUGCCAGUGUAUACUAGAUUUGGGCACAGCAAAUCUUUGACUGGUUUCCUACAUAAGUGGUAUGUCCCUUAUUUUGUACCCUUAUUAUAGUGCGAACAUAUUCUGCAGCGCUUUACAAUUACAGAAAGAGGAUAAUUGACAUUGACAACAGGUAAUUGACAUACAAAAUAUUAACAGAGGUAAGAGGUGAAGAAUGCCCUGCUCAAACGAGCUUACAAUCUUAUGUGCAAUUGCC